GAUGAACGCUGGCGGCGUGCCUAAUACAUGCAAGUAGAACGCUGAAGGAAGGAGCUUGCUCUUUCCGGAUGAGUUGCGAACGGGUGAGUAACGCGUAGGUAACCUGCCUGGUAGCGGGGGAUAACUAUUGGAAACGAUAGCUAAUACCGCAUAACAGUAGAUGUUGCAUGAUAUCUACUUAAAAGGUGCAAUUGCACCACUACCAGAUGGACCUGCGUUGUAUUAGCUAGUUGGUGAGGUAACGGCUCACCAAGGCGACGAUACAUAGCCGGCCUGAGAGGGUGAUCGGCCACACUGGGACUGAGACACGGCCCAGACUCCUACGGGAGGCAGCAGUAGGGAAUCUUCGGCAAUGGACGGAAGUCUGACCGAGCAACGCCGCGUGAGUGAAGAAGGUUUUCGGAUCGUAAAGCUCGGUUGUAAGAGAAGAACGAGUGUGAGAGUGGAAAGUUCACACUGUGACGGUAUCUUACCAGAAAGGGACGGCUAACUACGUG
rnacentral:rRNA from 1 species